GCCCUCAUGGUCAAGCGGUUAAGACGUCGCCCUCUCACGGCGGAAUCUGGGGUUCGAUUCCCCAUGAGGGUACCA
rnacentral:tRNA from 3 species